AUUGAACGCUGGCGGCAUGCCUUACACAUGCAAGUCGAACGGCAGCACGGGUUCUUGCACCUGGUGGCGAGUGGCGAACGGGUGAGUAAUACAUCGGAACAUGUCCUGUAGUGGGGGAUAGCCCGGCGAAAGCCGGAUUAAUACCGCAUACGAUCUACUGAUGAAAGCGGGGGACCUUCGUGCCUCGCGCUAUAGGGUUGGCCGAUGGCUGAUUAGCUAGUUGGUGGGGUAAAGGCCUACCAAGGCGGCGGUCAGUAGCUGGUCUGAGAGGAGGACCAGCCACACUGGGACUGAGACACGGCCCAGACUCCUACGGGAGGCAGCAGUGGGGAAUUUUGGACAAUGGGCGAAAGCCUGAUCCAGCAAUGCCGCGUGUGUGCAGAAGGCCUUCGGGUUGUAAAGCACUUUUGUCCGGAAAGAAAUCCUUGGCCCUGAUACGGUAGGGGGAUGACGGUACCGGAAGAAUAAGCACCGGCUAACUACGUG
rnacentral:rRNA from 1 species